GAUGAACGCUGGCGGCGUGCCUAACACAUGCAAGUCGAGCGGUAUAUAGUGGAAUGAAACUUCGGUCGAGUGAAGCUAUAGAGAGCGGCGGACGGGUGAGUAACGCGUAGGCAACCUGCCCCAUACAGAGGGAUAGCCUCGGGAAACCGGGAUUAAAACCUCAUAACGCGAGGAGUUCACAUGGACUUCUCGCCAAAGAUUCAUCGGUAUGGGAUGGGCCUGCGUCUGAUUAGCUAGUUGGUGAGGUAACGGCUCACCAAGGCGACGAUCAGUAGCCGACCUGAGAGGGUAAUCGGCCACAUUGGAACUGAGACACGGUCCAAACUCCUACGGGAGGCAGCAGUGGGGAAUAUUGCACAAUGGGCGAAAGCCUGAUGCAGCAACGCCGCGUGAGCGAUGAAGGCCUUUGGGUCGUAAAGCUCUGUCCUUGGGAAGAAACGAAAUGACGGUACCCUUGGAGGAAGCCCCGGCUAACUACGUGCCAGCAGCCGCGGUAA
rnacentral:rRNA from 1 species